UGCGGUUAAAAAGCUCGUAGUUGGAUUACAGUUCCGGACUGACGGUUCACCGCCCGGUGCUUACUGUCACGCUCCGAACAGCCUGAAACAUGGCCCCGCCGGCUCGCCCGGGGUGCUCUUUACCGAGUGUCCCGAGUGGCCGGCAUGUUUACUUUGAAAAAAUUAGAGUGCUCAGAGCAGGCUACAUGAAUUGGCCUGAAUGUCUAUGCAUGGAAUAAUGGAAUAGGACCUCGGUUCUAUUUUGUCGGUUUUCUUCGGAACCCGAGGUAAUGACUAAUAGAAACAGGCGGGGGUAUUAGUACUGCGACGCUAGAGGUGAAAUUCUUGGACCGUCGCAAGACUAACAACUGCGAAAGCAUUUACCAAGGAUGUUUUCAUUAAUCAAGAACGAAAGUUAGAGGUUCGAAGGCGAUCAGAUACCGCCCUAGUUCUAACCAUAAACGAUGCUGACUAGCGAUCCGCCGGCGUUAUUCCCAUGACCCGGCGGGCAGCUUCCGGGAAACCAAAGUCUUUGAGUUCCGGGGGAAGUAUGGUUGCAAAGCUGAAACUUAAAGGAAUUGACGGAAGGGCACCACCAGGAGUGGAGCCUGCGGCUUAAUUUGACUCAACACGGGAAACCUCACCAGGCCCAGACACUGGAAGGAUUGACAGAUUGAGAGCUCUUUCUCGAUUCAGUGGG
rnacentral:rRNA from 1 species